rnacentral:rRNA from 1 species
GAAUUGACGGGACCCGCACAAGCAGCGGAGCGUGUGGUUUAAUUCGUUGCUACACGAAGAACUUACCUGGGUUUGACAUAUAGGUUGUAGGGAACUGAAAGGGACCGACCCUUCGGGAGCCUAUACAGGUGUUGCAUGGCUGUCGUCAGCUCGUGUCGUGAGAUGUUCGGUUAAGUCCGCUAACGAGCGCAACCCUCGUCGUAUGUUAUAUGUGUCAUACGAGACUGCCGGUAAAAGCCGGAGGAAGGUGAGGAUGAUGUCAAGUCAGCAUGACCUUUAUAUCCAGGGCUACACACACGCUACAAUGGUCUGUACAAUGGGUAGCCAAGCCGCGAGGCGGAGCCAAUCCUGAAAGCAGGCCUCAGUUCAGAUUGCAGUCUGCAACUCGACUGCAUGAAGCCGGAGUUGCUAGUAACCGCAGGUCAGCAAUACUGCGGUGAAUACGUUCCCGGGUCUU